ensembl:lncRNA
UUCAUUUAUAAAAAAUAAAAAAAAAUUAAAAACAUCCAUAUUAAGUGCAAAUUUUAUGGAAAGAUUAAAUGGAAAGAUUCAUGUGGUGUGUUGCUGGAGAAUCAAGCAUGACCAUUAUGUUGAAAGGAUAAAUAAAGUUUAAUUUACUUAACACAUUUUUUUUGCAGUAAGUUAGAAUUUAUUCCAGGCGUGUUCAACUCAGUCUGAAUGAGAAUAAUUGUGCAGAUAUUGUUUAUGUGAUGUUUGACUCCAGUGAAUAUAUUUGAAGUGUAGAUACAGUGUUUUUGUCUGUGUUUGUCCUGGAGAAUUUCUUUCUGUUCUGAUCUCAGUGUGUCACAGUAAUUUAUUUAUUGUGCACUAUAGUUCACUAUACCUUAGACUGAAUGAAUUAUAAAAACUCACAGAGAAUGAGAUUUCACAAAAACUCUUCAGACAGGUCAGAAAUGUCAGUUAAAAGCAGAUAAACCUUUUGUGAAUAUAUUUGAAGUGUAGAUACAGUGUUUUUGUCUGUGUUUGUCCUGGAGAAUUUCUUUCUGUUCUGAUCUCAGUGUGUCACAGUAAUUUAUUUAUUGUGCACUAUAGUUCACUAUACCUUAGACUGAAUGAAUUAUAAAAACUCACAGAGAAUGAGAUUUCACAAAAACUCUUCAGACAGGUCAGAAAUGUCAGUUAAAAGCAGAUAAACCUUUUAAAGUUGAAUGUAUUUACUAUCUGUUUAGCUGUUUAUUCAAAUGGUUUUGCUGCACUACCAUGUUCGUGAAGCACAUCUUUCUGCUUUAAUCAAAAAGGAGUCUUUGUUAACUCUCACAAUGUCUUCUUUCACUUUCUUCUCUGUCCUAUCAACUUUACUGUGCACAAGGUUUGUAACUACAUUAAAACAAUAUUUGAACUCCAAUAACACUAGGCCUGACUCAAGAAACACUGGAAUGCAUUAAUUACAGUCUCAUCAGCAUUUUAUUAUAGUCUGGAUGGAGCUUCUUGAAUAUUAUCUCCAGUGGCUUGUGGUUUGACUCAAGCUAAACACAGCAUCCACACAGCUGGUGAAAUUUCUCACAACAGCCAACAGCAAUUUC